UACGUAGGGUGCGAGCGUUGUCCGGAAUUAUUGGGCGUAAAGAGCUUGUAGGCGGUCUGUCGCGUCUGCUGUGAAAAUCCGGGGCUCAACCCCGGACUUGCAGUGGGUACGGGCAGACUAGAGUGUGGUAGGGGAGACUGGAAUUCCUGGUGUAGCGGUGGAAUGCGCAGAUAUCAGGAGGAGCACCGGUGGCGAAGGCGGGUCUCUGGGCCGAUACUGACGCUGAGGAGCGAAAGCGUGGGGAGCGAACAGG
rnacentral:rRNA from 1 species